AACGCACAUUGCGCCCCUUGGUAUUCCGGGGGGCAUGCCUGUUCGAGCGUCAUUAAUACCAAUCUAGCCUAGCUAGGUGUUGGACUUCGCCCCCGGGCGGGUCUUAAAAUCAGUGGCGGUGCUCUUCAGCUCUACGCGUAGUAAUUCUUCUCGCUAUAGGGUCUGUGGGGAUACUAGCCAGCAACCCCAAAUUUUUCUAGGUUGACCUCGGAUCAGGUAGGGAUACCCGCUGAACUUAA
rnacentral:misc_RNA from 2 species